rnacentral:misc_RNA from 1 species
GAAAUGCGAUAAGUAAUGUGAAUUGCAGAAUUCAGUGAAUCAUCGAAUCUUUGAACGCACAUUGCGCUUCCUGGUAUUCCGGGGAGCAUGCCCGUUUCAGAAUCAUUGAAAAUCUCACGACCCCCUGUGUUUUCGAACACGGUGGCGAGUGGAUAUGGAUGCAUUUGCCGAAUGGCAAAGCGUCUUAAAAAGAUAGUAUGUGCAUCGAUCGGUUGGCCGGUUGGUUUCCAAAGUGCAACAGAUUCUUCUAUUUCGCUAAGGAUUCUCAAUUGGUUCGUUCGGAGCCUGUAUUCAAUCUGAACACAGAGACUGCAACAGUUGGGGCAGUCUCUGAUAACUUGGUCUGAAAUCGGGCAAGAAAACCCGCUGAACUUAA